rnacentral:rRNA from 1 species
UACGGAGGGUGCGAGCGUUGUCCGGAAUCAUUGGGCGUAAAGGGCGCGUAGGCGGCCACCGCAAGUCAGUUGUGAAAUCUCUGGGCUUAACCCAGAAAGGUCAACUGAUACUGCGGGGCUAGAGUGCAGAAGGGGCAACUGGAAUUCUCGGUGUAGCGGUGAAAUGCGUAGAUAUCGAGAGGAACACCUGCGGCGAAGGCGGGUUGCUGGGCUGACACUGACGCUGAUGCGCGAAAGCUAGGGGAGCGAACGGG